rnacentral:tRNA from 1 species
UCGUCCUGUGGCCUAGCGGCGAAGGCAACUGUCUUACAAACAGUCGAUCGACAGUUCGAGUCUGUCCAGGACGAU